GGAGAUAGCGGCGGCUGACGGCGCCGAAAUCCAUGCCGCUGCCGCGGGCAAUUUGGGACGCUCGUCGGCGAUGUCGCGUCCGGCGGCGCUUUACCUUGCUCUGCUCAUUGAGGAUGUGCGGGCCGCCGUCCUUGAAGGCAGACGUUCUGGCCACGGUGAUGGGGGCUGCGUGUGCCGUCGGCCGUGAUGGCAGGCGCGGUGGUCGGGAAAUGGUGGGUGGGCGUGAUACUGUGACGGCGGGUCGGGAGACGGCGUCUGGGCGUAAGACGGAGGCUGAGCUGCCUCUGUGUGCUGGAGCUUCCUCCCGCGGCAUGGAGAGGAGCUGCAGCCCGCACAUCGCAAGGGGAUGGAGGCCCCCCUCUCCCUGUCCAUCCAGCUGCUGAUUUUAUGUGGGUAUGUGUCCUUCUGCAACCUCACGUAUUAGUUUGAAUCAUACUAUUGUAUUCUGCUCGAAGCCCAAAUAGUAAACAGGACGCAUUUGGCUCAGAGUCGAUGCUCACAAACAUGGGGCUAAUUACAAACGGUGGACAUGAAUAAAUCAUAGGACUUACCGAAGCCUAUUAGACUGGAGUCUGUGUGCGUUUAUCUUAGCGGCGUGGCUCCCGGGAAUUCAGCUUGCAAGGAAGAACAGGGGAACAAUUUUAUAAAACCAAUGGCACGGAGUGUGCAUGAGGUUUGUAUGCUUAUAACAUUGUGCGUGGAAUUUAGGCUUACAUCUAUCGCACGGGUUAGGAAGGUGAUCCCGUAUUAAUUAAUUAAAGUUAAUGCGCAGAUUCUACGCAGGGGAUAUGAAGGAAUUAAUAGGGAAGGUAAUGACUUGGAAAGAACAUAGAUAUAGCCUGUGAUCCCGGACAGAUUCUCGUCUUCAUUUAUUUAUUUUAUUUCAAUACCAGCUGGAUUUACAACGAGGACAACACGUAUAAAAGCUGGAUUAUAUAUGAAGCUGUUUUAGAGGCGACAAAACACUAUGUGGCAGAUCAUUAUAGAGCAUUUCAGUGAAGUUUGCAUCACACUUGAACCCUCCUCAUUCGUUGAACGUGAACAUGGCUCAUUCGUUGGACGAUCAAGCUGGCCUGCUUCUGCAAGGACCCAACCGCAUCUCCUAGUGCGGCACGGCAGGCCGCCAGCUCGUAGGAUUGCUGGUUGUCUGGUUCGAAGACAAGCUGGCUCAUGUAUGUCGUUUUCAGAAACCCUACAAAAUAGGUUUAAUCAAACAAUACAAACCAAUGUUAAACUUUAUUUGUUAAUGCAAGGACUCACGUUUUUCUCUGUUGACCUCAAGCAGUGUGGCACCCAAAGUCCAGAGCCCCUGCUUCGCUAGUCCCCACCGUGUCAAGUGGCGUGACACAUGCUGGUCCCAGACGCGUAGGCAGAUAAACU
rnacentral:lncRNA from 1 species